UACGAAGGGGGCUAGCGUUGCUCGGAUUGACUGGGCGUAAAGGGCGCGUAGGCGGUUUGCAUAGUCAGACGUGAAAUUCCUGGGCUUAACCUGGGGGCUGCGUUUGAUACAUGCAGGCUUGAGUUCGGAAGAGGGUCGUGGAAUUCCCAGUGUAGAGGUGAAAUUCGUAGAUAUCUGGAGGAACACCGGUGGCGAAGGCGGCAUCCUGGACCGGCAUUGACGCUGAGGCGCGAAAGCCAGGGGAGCAAACGGG
rnacentral:rRNA from 1 species